UACGUAGGGUCCGAGCGUUGUCCGGAAUUACUGGGCGUAAAGAGCUCGUAGGUGGUUUGUCGCGUUGUUCGUGAAAACUCACAGCUCAACUGUGAGCUUGCGGGCGAUACGGGCAGACUAGAGUACUGCAGGGGAGACUGGAAUACUUGGUGUAGCAGUGAAAUGCGUAGAUAUCAAGUGGAACACCAGUGGCGAAGGCGAGUCUCUGGACAUUUCCUGACGCUGAGGCACGAAAGCCAGGGGAGCAAACGGG
rnacentral:rRNA from 1 species